GGAACAGUCAGAGGUGGGAGGGAAGGAGAGAGAGAACAGUCGGAGGUGGGAGGGAAGGAGAGAGAGAACAGUCAGAGGUGGGAGGGAAGGAGAGAGAGGGAACAGUAAGAGGUGGGAGGGAAGGAGAGAGAGGGAACAGUCAGAGGUGGGAGGGAAGGAGAGAGAGAACAGUCGGAGGUGG